rnacentral:ncRNA from 1 species
ACCGCCAGAAUCUUUGCGAUAUACGGGAUCAGCGGCAGGUUCAGGAUCAGCAGGAUCAGGUUGCCGAUAAACAUCGACAUGAUCACCGCCCAGAAGAUCGACGGUUGGUCGAUCAUCAGGCGCGGACC